rnacentral:lncRNA from 1 species
CCACACGUGUAUUCCAGCACUUUGGGAAGCCGAGGCAGGCAGAUCACAUGAGGUCAGGAGUUCGAGACCAGCCUGGCCAACAUGGUGAAACUCCUUCUCUACUAAAAAUACAAAAAAAAAAUUAGCCGGGUGUGGUGGUGUGCGACUGUAAUCCCUGCUAAUGGGGAGGCGGAGGUUGCAGUGAGAGGAGAUCGCACCACUGCACUGCAGCCUGGGCGACAAAGCAAGACUCCAUCUCAAAACAAACAAACAAACAAACAAACAAACAAAAAACAGACGAAAUAGGGUUUGAGUAUGUAGUCUGCUCUCAACAUGAGAUAGUAAAGUCUUUGCUUCCCUUAUAUUCUGUUAAUUAACUCAUUUGAUGCACAUCGAUGUAUAAAGCCUUUAACUUCUAUUUAUUCUUUUCCUUGAAAAGCAUGCGGAAUGCCUUCUCAGGACUCUCCCAUUUUUUAUUUGUGAACACCCACUGGCAUUCCCGGAUACGAAGCUUGCAAGAAGGUGUGAACCGCCCUAUACUCGUGAGCCCCUGGGGCUCUGUACUCUUUCCAGCCCACAUUUGACCUCAGUCAAUUUUUAAAUGAUUCCAGCUAAAUUCUUCUUACCAGUGCCCAGCUGUACCUGCCUUAGGUAAUCCUCUUACUCUGGGCUAUGAACUUGCUACUGCCAAGAUGGAUGCCAUGAAAAAAAGAGAUCUCAUCAAAAUGGUCACAGAGAGAUGGAGGGCCUCUGUGUAGAUGGCAGGGUGGUGGUGGCCGUGUAACUAGCUGCCCGGUGAGGAGCAGCCCUUGGGGAGAGCCCAGGUAGGACCAGGAGAAGCAGAAAUAGAGAAAAGUGAAAGAUCGAGGUGGAAAGAACAUGAGGGACAAGAGCUCUGCAUGGCCACAUCACCAGCAGUCUUGUUAUUACAAUGAGGAUGAAGGGACUGAAAAGAGGGGAAGAGAUGGAAUUCAUCAAACAACAGUGCUCAUUCAUACAAGGUAAGUAUACAUGUGGCCUUUUCUCUCUCUAUCUGAAGAUGUGGCUUACUGUAACAGGAACUAUCAUGGGCAUUGGACGGCUGUCUCAUGGUGAUCCCAUCCUCCUCUACAUCCUAAACUUUUUUUUGAAUGCAUUUCUGUAUUUUGACUUCCUCUCUCCCCAAAGUUCUUGUUAACUUCUGAGUAUGACUUAGCUUCCUUAUUCUUUGAAAUAUUUGAAACCCCUAACUUCCUCUCCUCUGUGGUGUAACUCACAUGGCUUCUUGAUACCAGGAGGCACUGUCUGCAUACAACCUCAUAUUAUGAGGAUGAAAUGCCCAUGAAUCCUACCAAUCUGAGGAACAACGCAUUUGUCUUCUCUGACAAAAUACGGGUGCCACAUAUUCUGUAGGAAAAGGUGGUGUUGAGGUCAGAACUUCUCUGUUUCUCUGUCUCUCUCUCUCUGGUUCUGGAAAUGUUGAGAAUAUGAGUGAAGGGAAAAAGAUGGGCACCACGUGGAGGCAAUUUCAUGGUGGCAUGAAACAAUUUUGGGGGCAUGAAUGCCAUGGGCAGAACAUCAGGGCCCCAAAAGGGAAAUACACAGUACUUUCUUUGGACUUCAGUGCUCUCUUUUAUAGUAAUGGAAACCACAAGCGCAGAGGAAGGGGAGCUGAUUCUAUAAAAAGAAGUUUAUUUCCUACUUUAAAAGAUGAUUUUUUGACUAUCUUCCCACAAUAGAGCCAGAGGAUCACAGGGGAAAGCUACGAUCCUCAAUUAUAGAAAAUGAUGUUGGGUGCAUCUAGCAUCACAGAAGCUUUAGAGGACACAGUCAUCUCAGGUACCUACAGAUAAGGAAGAAGUACCAAUGAGAGUACCUACUCGUAUUCUUAUUCAUGGAAGCGAAUCCCUUCAGGAACCAAAUCAUUUAGCUGCUGGUAGAUGUUUCUUUUGGCUCCUCUCUCUCCUGAGCUCUCAAACACAGACUUUUUUUUCUGUGUGCCUCUGCUUUUGGCAACUCUGUUCCAAGAAUAAGAAUAUUUGUUUGUAGAUGAGCUUGCUAGGUCGGGGAUCUCUUGUAUAGGGAGAUGGUGAAUCACUGAGCAGGACACAGAGGCAUGAGUUGAAACAGUGAGAUGUACCUUAGUUUAAAGAGAGGUCACAAGAGCUCAUGGACCAUUAUUAGAUAAACUCUAAAUUAGAAAAAAGAACCAUAUUUCUCUUUUGAUAGUCACAUAAAAAUUGAAGCCAUACUCAUUCUAAUAAAAAGUAACAUGCAUAGCUCUUCAUUGCAAAGCUCAUCUAUUAUUCAUAACAGGCAUAUAGGGUCUAUAUCAUUUUUACAGAAGUGGAAAUAGCAUGUAAUUACUAAUUUAGUUUAUUCAUUAGUUUUCCAAAAGUGAAAUAAAGAAUUUUCCCUUUGACUUCCUACCUGGUAAUUUGAAAGAGAUAAAUUUGUGACUAAAAAGAGUACUUCACAUCAUACACAAAUAAUUAAUGCAACUGAUUGACCCAAGCUAGUGUGUGUGAUAUUGUGAUAUAAUAGGAAGUAUAUAUUUGGUUUCUGACCCUGGUUCCUGCCCUUCAGCUCCUAAAACUCUUGGAAUCUCCAGAGUGAUAAGAGUGUCUUUUGCAUGCUAAUGAGGUGACUGGUGGCUGGGGCUGGUCACCAGAAAGACCAAGGCAGGAUUAGAGGGUUGGGAUUUUCAGCCCACUCACAAUCUCUGGGGAGAAGGGAGGGGCUGAAGGUUGAGUUGACUGCCAAUGGCCAAUGGUUUAAUCAACUCACCAUGCUGACAUAACAAAGCCUCCAUUAAAACCCAAAAGGGCAGAGUUUGGAGAGUUUCCAGAUAGCAGAACACGGAAAGAUGCCUGGAGGAUAGGCUCUUGAAGAAGGUGUGGAAGCUCCGCACUCUUUCCCCCAUACUUUGUCCUAUGUGUUUUGUUUUUCUUUAUCAAUCUGUUCGUCUGUAUCCUUUGUCUUAUCCUAUGUAAUAAACCAGUGUAUGUAAGUGUUUCCCUGAGUUCUUUGGGCUGCUCUAGCAAAUUAAUUGAACCUGAGGAAAGGUUUGUGGGAACCUCCAAUCUAUAAUUGGAUGGUCAGAAGUACAGGUGAUAGCAACUGGCAUCUGAAGUGGGAAGGGGGCAGUUUUGCAUGACUGAUCCCUCAAUCUGUGGGAUCUGAUGCUAUUUUUAGGUAAAUAGUAUCAGAAUUGAAUUGAUUUAGAGGAACCCGGUGUCUGCUGGAGAAUUGCUUGGUGUGGGGGAAAAAUCUCCACAUACCUGAUGUCAGAAGUAACUGUGUAAGACAGAAGGAAAAAUGCUUUGGAGUUUUUUGUUUUUUCUCCCCAUCUCUAUUUAUAUAGGUUAAAAAUGUGGCUGGGUGCAUGCCCAUGAUCUGAGCACUUUGGAAGGCCCAGGCAGGAGGAUAACUAGAGGUCAGGAGUUCAAGACCAGCCUAGGCAACACAGUGAGACCCCCCCGCAUCUCUAAAAAACAAACAGAGACAAAUACAUAAAUAAAUCAGUACAAGUACAAGCCUCAUAAUCCAUUAUGAAAGUGUCAGAGUGAUGAAUGCCAUGGGCAUAGUAACAGUUAAUAAAGAAAAUAAUGUGUUGGAGGAAUAUUUAAGAUAACUGAGGCUGCUACAAGCAAAACUACAGAAUAAUUUCAUCAUAUACAUUUUUUUUUGUUUCCAAAUUAGAUACAAGAUUAAGCCUUGGGUCUCCCUGGCAGUGGAGGGCGAUUCUGAUAUUCACAUAUAACUACCCACAGGGCAUGGAUUCUGAGAGAUGCUGAUAAAAGAAGUUGGUGUCUUCUUGGCAUUUGUCCCCAAGGAUCUUCCAAUACCCAGAGAAUCUGCAUUUACACAGAUCAUGCUCCCUUGGGAGCUUCUCUUGACUGCCCCCCACACCCUCAUUCGUGGCUUUUCCUCUUUGAUCUCCCACUUCAGUCCUCACACCUGUCAACACUGUGCUUAUUACCAUGUGGAGUGGUUAGAAGAUCUUCCCAGAGUCAAGACAUUUCCAGGGUCACCCUUCUCUUAGGCAUUUCUUGGCACGACUGUCCUGAAUAAAGGAAAGGAGAUGAAGGUGAUGUUGAGAAGCAUCUAGAGGGCUGGAGUCAGGGGGAACCGGCUGAGGCUGUUGGAUCAAGUUUUAGCCACUGGUAAAAGACCUCCAAGCUGCGAAUGCUAUUGCCAUCUGUGUAAAGUCGCCUCCGAGAUUAGAACAUGCCAAAGACUGAAGAAAGAGGUCUAGGUAGCAUAAAGCCAUCAUGUAAUUGAAGUUUCUUCCGUUUCCAAGGACAGGAAGCGUGCAAAUGGCUCUGCGUUCUCAGUAGGGGUGGGGCUAAGAAGUGAGCCUGCAAAUGGUAGUUUGGGCGAAGACUUGUGUGAUGCAUGCAGGGACUCAAAUUUAGUGUCCUCUGAACACAAACACCCUCUAUGAUCCGGGUUAGGUAUCGCUCCUGUGAACGUUCAAAGAACACCUUUAUAUUCUGAGGGGACACCGUUCAUCAUCAGAUCACUGUUGACGGAAGCCAGGUGACAGCUUUGUAUUUCGUGUUUUCCCCUUUAGUAAUGUAAAAAUAGAAGUUAUUUCUCCUUUCUUCCAAUGUAGGAUUUUUUUUUUUGAGAGGGUCUCUGUCACCCAGGCUGGAGUGCAGUGACACAAACACAGCUCACUACAUCCUUGACCUCUUGGGUUCAGAUGGUCCUCCCGCCUCAGCCUCCUUAGUAGCUGGGACGACAGGCACAUUCCACCGGCCCGGCUAAUUUCUUUUUAAAGUUUUUGUAGAGAUAGGGCUCUCACUAUGUUGCCCAGACUGGUCUUGAACUCCUGAGCUCAAGCGAUUCUCUCACCUUGGCCUCCCAGAGUGUUGGGAUUACAAGCGCGAGCCACCACACCCAGCCCAGUGUAGGAAUGUUUAAUUCCUCCACUUGCUAUCAAAGAAAACUGCUAACUUUCUUAUUUCCUAAUUUCUCUUUUUCUAUUUGCUUCUCCUUAGGUUCUGCUCUUGGGUGCUAUCUCCUUAGUUUUGAGAAUAUGAAGGUUUGUUUAGAAAAAAAAAAGCAGAAAAAAUUCACUGGAAGAUUUCACAUUUGUAUAUAUCUUUAUGAAAUGUGACAGUGAAGUGUUAGGGUAGAGAUAUUUGAUCUGAUUACCAUUAGGAUAAAAUCAAAUCUCCUUACCAUGUCUUACAUGUGUACUUGUCCAAUCUUGUCUCCUAUAAUUGUCCAACCAACCCGUUCUGUUCCAGCCUCACUGGCCUUCUUAUUCUUUCACGAAGCUCACACUGUCCUCCAGAGCCUUGCACUCUCUUUUGCCUGGAAUGCUCUCCCAGAUCUUAACAUGAUAGGAAAACAAAAGACAACUGUUUGUCAUGUCUACUACAGUCUCAGCCCCAUGAGGCAGAGUCCAUGCCCAUUUUCCUUCCAUGCAACAUUCCUGGCACCUAGAGAGUGACUGAUGCAUAAUGGCUGGUAAAAUAUUUGAUUAAAAAAUAUUUUAGUGUAUUUCCUCCCCCAAAAUAUACAUACACAACAGAGGCAGUUAUUUUGUCUAUAUCUUUAGCACAUUUUAGGCAUUUAGUAAAUUUCUGUUGAAUCCAUAUGGAAUUCUUCAGAUUGAUCUGUGAACACUUUAGAUUUGAAAAAGGAGAAAAUCAUAAAACUAAGGGUAAUGGGGAGAGAGCAAAACCAAAGGCAGACAUGGGAAGAUUCUCCUUAUACAAAAUACUUUUUCCAUGUCUAUAAUGAACCCCCAAAUUAUCUGGAUACUUACAACAGUGGUAGCAAGGGAAUGUCUCGUUAAUGCAGGUUCUCUAUUCUCCUCAAUUAAUUUCAGGUCCUUAAUUGUGCAUGACAUAUGAAACAUAAAGGGUGUUUAUUUGCUAAUCACCAGCAUUAAUUAAUUCAAAGACUUACCUGAGAUUCUGUUUGCGCAAUAAAAAUUAAAAAGAUUACUCAGUAAUACAUUGGGAGAGGUGUAACUGGGGCAUUAAAAUACGAAUGUGUGUCUAAUUUUCAAACAUCAUAAGUAUUUUGAAAGCACUUAUACAUAAUCAAUUAAUAUAUGUUGUUAACUAAAUUCAUAUGAAUAAUAUGUGAUAUAAAUUAGUGUUUUGUAUUAAUUUCAAGACAAUUAGAAAGAGAAUGUCACCAUCACUCUUUUGAUUCAAUCAACAGUCCUUAGACUGGUUCCUUGUAAUGAAUUUAAUGGGUUAGUAAAAGCUGUGUUAUUUGAAAUU